AGAGUUUGAUUCUGGCUCAGGAUGAACGCUGGCGGCGUGCCUAACACAUGCAAGUCGAGCGAUUCUCUUCGGAGAAGAGCGGCGGACGGGUGAGUAACGCGUGGGUAACCUGCCUCAUACACAUGGAUAACAUACCGAAAGGUAUGCUAAUACAGGAUAACAUAAGAGAUUCACAUGGAUUUCUUAUCAAAGCUCCGGCGGUAUGAGAUGGACCCGCGUCUGAUUAGCUAGUUGGUAAGGUAACGGCUUACCAAGGCGACGAUCAGUAGCCGACCUGAGAGGGUGAUCGGCCACAUUGGAACUGAGACACGGUCCAAACUCCUACGGGAGGCAGCAGUGGGGAAUAUUGCACAAUGGGCGAAAGCCUGAUGCCAGCAACGCCGCGUGAGUGAUGAAGGCUUUCGGGUCGUAAAACUCUGUCCUCAAGGAAGAUAAUGACGGUACUUGAGGAGGAAGCCCCGGCUAACUACGUGCCAGCCGCUGC
rnacentral:rRNA from 1 species